rnacentral:rRNA from 1 species
GGAUACGAGCUGCGAAGGCAUCUUCAGCAGCUGGAAAGAACUUCGGUCAAGGAUGAGCUCGCGGCCUAUCAGCUUGUUGGUGAGGUAAUGGCUCACCAAGGCGUCGACGGGUAGCCGGCCUGAGAGGGUGACCGGCCACACUGGGACUGAGACACGGCCCAGACUCCUACGGGAGGCAGCAGUGGGGAAUAUUGCACAAUGGGCGCAAGCCUGAUGCAGCAACGCCGCGUGAGGGACGACGGCCUUCGGGUUGUAAACCUCUUUUAGCAGGGAAGAAGCGAAAGUGACGGUACCUGCAGAAAAAGCACCGGCUAACUACGUGCCAGCAGCCGCGGUAAUACGUAGGGUGCAAGCGUUAUCCGGAAUUAUUGGGCGUAAAGAGCUCGUAGGCGGUUUGUCACGUCUGCUGUGAAAACUGGAGGCUCAACCUCCAGCCUGCAGUGGGUACGGGCAGACUAGAGUGCGGUAGGGGAGAUUGGAAUUCCUGGUGUAGCGGUGGAAUGCGCAGAUAUCAGGAGGAACACCGAUGGCGAAGGCAGAUCUCUGGGCCGUAACUGACGCUGAGGAGCGAAAGGGUGGGGAGCAAACAGGCUUAGAUACCCUGGUAGUCCACCCCGU